GAUGAACGCUGGCGGCGUGCCUAAUACAUGCAAGUCGAGCGAACGGACGAGAAGCUUGCUUCUCUGACGUUAGCGGCGGACGGGUGAGUAACACGUGGAUACCCUACCUAUAAGACUGGGAUAACUUCGGGAAACCGGAGCUAAUACCGGAUGAUAUUUUGAACCGCAUGGUUCAAAAGUGAAAGACGGUCUUGCUGUCACUAAUAGAUGGAUCCGCGCUGCAUUAGCUAGUUGGUAAGGUAACGGCUUACCAAGGCAACGAUGCAUAGCCGACCUGAGAGGGUGAUCGGCCACACUGGAACUGAGACACGGUCCAGACUCCUACGGGAGGCAGCAGUAGGGAAUCUUCCGCAAUGGGCGAAAGCCUGACGGAGCAGCGCCGCGUGAGUGAUGAAGGUCUUCGGAUCGUGAAACUCUGUUAUUGGGGAAGAACAUAUGUGUAAGUAACUGUGCACAUCUUGACGGUACCUAAUCAGAAAGCCACGGCUAACUACGUG
rnacentral:rRNA from 1 species